UGGCUUUGAACUAGGCUAGUGUAGAACAAUCCAUGUACUUGGUUUCGCGUCUGGUCGGUGCUCCAACCAGUGAACCCGAGAGGCGGAUUUCGUUGAGCCGGUGGGUCGAGCCAUUGCCAGAAGCUAUCACUCAGUCCUUGGACAGCGUUAUGGAGAGGGAGUGAACUGAAAAACACCUCCAUUCCAUUGACUCAGGCUAGAGGCUCCUUUCUGUUAUUGUGUGACGUCAAUGCGGGAGCCACGGCGACGAAGCUGACUUGUUAGUCGAUCGAACUCCACUCUCGCUCCCUUCUCUCUUUCUUUCUUUCUUUCUCUUCCUGUUUUACCCUCUGUCGACUGAAUUACGACUUAGUCUCAGAGAUAAAUAAGACCGAGGGAGACUUGACUUUUGAGAUCUCUACCUACCUAUUGGCAAUCUUAGCUCCUUUUGACGAUUUGGAUUGAUUCUAUGGAACGAGAAGUGUCCCAUUUCUCUAGUCACCGACUUCGCCACUAUAUUUUGGUUCGACCCCCUGAUCGUUUGCCUUUGAGCUCUGGUGCCAAUUGCUCCAUCCACCACAGCAGCAUCCCAAUCCUUGUCAGACUUCCCUAGCAACACUUGAAUCAGAAGAUUGCCCGGUCGCCUUGAAACUCCCCAUCAUAGAAGCACUCCAAAACCAACAACAACUUCAGUAACUCACAGAUUGAUUUCCUUGGUUCAAAGUUCAAACCACCCAGGCCAAACAAACACCAUUACCAUGCCUGCCAAAGUGGAUUUCAUUUUGGGCGUCACUGCCACGGCCGCAGUGGUUGGAAUGGCUGCCCAACGUAAAGAUGGAUCCCCUCAACAUUCCACUGCAAUCGCGCCUUGGCAAAGGCAACAACAGCAACAAAAGAUACAGCAACGACCUGCUUUGGCAGUGGGUAGGUUCAAUGGAUCCAAUGCCAGCUCGAAUGUGGCAUCCAAGCAACAUCAAGAUGCAAUUCAUCAAAUGCACUUAUGGAAAUAGUUGCCAAUUAUUUUUCGGUUUUGAACAUUCCCCAUUCAACACUUUUUACUCUUAACACGCCCUGUUCACACAUGCAGCACACCCUUGAUGACACCCUUGGGAAAGGUCACGAAUGGAUAACUCGGAGGUUUUAAGAAUGAACACCCGUUUUGUUGCAUCGGAUAUGAUCUGUUCCAAACUGUGCCAAUCGUCUCAUUUCGUUAACCGUAAUUCAAUGAAAAAUGUUACCGACAUUUUCCAUUUUUCUACAAAUUCUAAACCGUUUAUGACGUUCAAAAACAUAUUUCGUUGCAUUUACAAUUUACACUCACGGGUUUGAAUAAAAAGGUAACCUUUUACACAUCUA